rnacentral:rRNA from 1 species
UACGUAGGGGGCAAGCGUUGUCCGGAUUUAUUGGGCGUAAAGAGCGUGUAGGCGGCUUUGCAAGUCCGUUGUGAAAACUCGAGGCUCAACCUCGAGACGCCGGUGGAAACUGCAAAGCUAGAGUCUGGAAGAGGAGAGUGGAAUUCCUGGUGUAGCGGUGAAAUGCGCAGAUAUCAGGAAGAACACCCGUGGCGAAGGCGGCUCUCUGGGACGGUACUGACGCUGAGACGCGAAAGCGUGGGGAGCGAACAGG